rnacentral:rRNA from 1 species
UACGAAGGGGCGAGCGUUGUUCGGAAUCACUGGGCGUAAAGGCGCGUAGGCGGCCCUCUUAGUCGCGUGUGAAAGCCCGGGCUCAACCUGGGAACGGCGCGCGAAACGGGAGGGCUGGAGUUCGGGAGAGGAGAGUGGAAUUCCCAGUGUAGAGGUGAAAUUCGUGAGAUAUUGGGAAGAACACCGGUGGCGAAGGCGGCUACUCUGGACCGAGACUGACGCUGAGG